CCCCCUGGACGAAGACUGACGCUCAGGUGCGAAAGCGUGGGGAGCAAACAGGAUUAGAUACCCUGGUAGUCCACGCCGUAAACGAUGUCGACUUGGAGGUUGUGCCCUUGAGGCGUGGCUUCCGGAGCUAACGCGUUAAGUCGACCGCCUGGGGAGUACGGCCGCAAGGUUAAAACUCAAAUGAAUUGACGGGGGCCCGCACAAGCGGUGGAGCAUGUGGUUUAAUUCGAUGCAACGCGAAGAACCUUACCUGGUCUUGACAUCCACAGAACUUUCCAGAGAUGGAUUGGUGCCUUCGGGAACUGUGAGACAGGUGCUGCAUGGCUGUCGUCAGCUCGUGUGUGAAAUGUGGUAUGCCCCCACCGC
rnacentral:rRNA from 1 species